AUACUUACCUGGCAGGGGAGAUGCCAGGAUCACAGAGGUGGUUUUCCCAGGGCCAGGCUGAUCCAUUGCACCCGGAGUGUGCUGAUCCCCCCUGCCCUCGAUCUCCCCAAAUGCAAGAAACUCUGCACAAUUUGGGGUAGUAGGGAAGAAAAAAAAUUACUACUAAUUCCAA